rnacentral:rRNA from 1 species
GAUGAACGCUGGCGGCGUGCCUAAUACAUGCAAGUCGAGCGAACAGACGAGGAGCUUGCUCCUCUGACGUUAGCGGCGGACGGGUGAGUAACACGUGGAUAACCUACCUAUAAGACUGGGAUAACUUCGGGAAACCGGAGCUAAUACCGGAUAAUAUAUUGAACCACAUGGUUCAAUAGUGAAAGACGGUUUUGCUGUCACUUAUAGAUGGAUCCGCGCCGCAUUAGCUAGUUGGUAAGGUAACGGCUUACCAAGGCAACGAUGCGUAGCCGACCUGAGAGGGGGAUCGGCCAAACUGGAACUGAGACAGGGACAAGACUCCUACGGGAGGCACCAGUAGGGAACCUUGCGCAAUGGGCGAAAGCCUGCCGGAGCAACGCCGCGUGAGUGAUAACGUUCUUCGGAUCGUAAAACUCUGUUAUUAGGGAAGAACAAAUGUGUAAGUAAAUAUGCACGUAUUGACGGUACCUAAUCAGAAAGCCACGGCUAACUACGUG